rnacentral:rRNA from 2 species
AUAGAUGGGGUCGUACGAACUCUGGGUUGAUUGGUGCUUGCAUCAUGAUUUACAUUUGAGUGAGUGGCGAACUGGUGAGUAACACGUGGGAAACCUGCCCAGAAGCGGGGGAUAACACCUGGAAACAGAUGCUAAUACCGCAUAACAACUUGGACCGCAUGGUCCGAGUUUGAAAGAUGGCUUCGGCUAUCACUUUUGGAUGGUCCCGCGGCGUAUUAGCUAGAUGGUGGGGUAACGGCUCACCAUGGCAAUGAUACGUAGCCGACCUGAGAGGGUAAUCGGCCACAUUGGGACUGAGACACGGCCCAAACUCCUACGGGAGGCAGCAGUAGGGAAUCUUCCACAAUGGACGAAAGUCUGAUGGAGCAACGCCGCGUGAGUGAAGAAGGGUUUCGGCUCGUAAAACUCUGUUGUUAAAGAAGAACAUAUCUGAGAGUAACUGUUCAGGUAUUGACGGUAUUUAACCAGAAAGCCACGGCUAACUACGUGCCAGCAGCCGCGGUAAUACGUAGGUGGCAAGCGUUGUCCGGAUUUAUUGGGCGUAAAGCGAGCGCAGGCGGUUUUUUAAGUCUGAUGUGAAAGCCUUCGGCUCAACCGAAGAAGUGCAUCGGAAACUGGGAAACUUGAGUGCAGAAGAGGACAGUGGAACUCCAUGUGUAGCGGUGAAAUGCGUAGAUAUAUGGAAGAACACCAGUGGCGAAGGCGGCUGUCUGGUCUGUAACUGACGCUGAGGCUCGAAAGUAUGGGUAGCAAACAGGAUUAGAUACCCUGGUAGUCCAUACCGUAAACGAUGAAUGCUAAGUGUUGGAGGGUUUCCGCCCUUCAGUGCUGCAGCUAACGCAUUAAGCAUUCCGCCUGGGGAGUACGGCCGCAAGGCUGAAACUCAAAGGAAUUGACGGGGGCCCGCACAAGCGGUGGAGCAUGUGGUUUAAUUCGAAGCUACGCGAAGAACCUUACCAGGUCUUGACAUACUAUGCAAAUCUAAGAGAUUAGACGUUCCCUUCGGGGACAUGGAUACAGGUGGUGCAUGGUUGUCGUCAGCUCGUGUCGUGAGAUGUUGGGUUAAGUCCCGCAACGAGCGCAACCCUUAUUAUCAGUUGCCAGCAUUAAGUUGGGCACUCUGGUGAGACUGCCGGUGACAAACCGGAGGAAGGUGGGGAUGACGUCAAAUCAUCAUGCCCCUUAUGACCUGGGCUACACACGUGCUACAAUGGAUGGUACAACGAGUUGCGAACUCGCGAGAGUAAGCUAAUCUCUUAAAGCCAUUCUCAGUUCGGAUUGUAGGCUGCAACUCGCCUACAUGAAGUCGGAAUCGCUAGUAAUCGCGGAUCAGCAUGCCGCGGUGAAUACGUUCCCGGGCCUUGUACACACCGCCCGUCACACCAUGAGAGUUUGUAACACCCAAAGUCGGUGGGGUAACCUUUUAGGAACCAGCCGCCU